UUUUUCCUUUUUUUUUUCAUACAAAGACAGAAGGUCAGCUUCUUUCUCCCCAUCUCUGAUCUCUUUAUCCUUUUUGUUCUCACUCCCAAAUGGCUGUUUACUCUGAAUUAGUGGCCAAUUAGCAAACCGGAGAGUUACUGAGGGAAUAUGUGAGAGGCAGUUCCUGUCAGGACAGUAAUUGUUACAUCACAGAAGAAGCUAGGGCUCUCCUAGUUACAACAAAUUUGUCAUGGAGGUCCUAUUUAUGAUGUCACUGAGAACGGCCAUCUCCUACAUGCUAAACAGCUUUCCUUACAUUUACCAGAUUCGAAGGUGUCCUUUCCAGUCUCUUGCAGAUUCAGCUAAAGAUGUGUAUAUGCUAGACUGUGAAGUACCAUUAGAAGAUGAAGCAAUGUAGGACCUCUUGAGCUAUUUUCAAGGUAGACUGGAGGUUCACUUGGGAUGCAAUGAAGAGCCACUGACAAGCAUAUUCUUCAAAGCCUCCCAUGGUGUAACUGAAGAUACAAUAUGUGAAGUAGCAAUAACUUGCCUGCUCAAGUGGACAAGAGCACUUUCACCAAAGGCCCACAUUGGCCUGAAAUAUCUUCUUUUGCCCAAGGCGUACUCAUGCCUGCACUCUCUUGUGGCCAUCAUUAGCACUUCUUCUCUUGAUUUUGUGAGCCUGCUAUAUCCCAAAUGUUUAGGAUUACAUACAAACUUAUUUCUGCUACAUGUAUUCUGAGACAUUCCUCCAUGGAAGGAAGGGGUGUUGAUCUUUUCUUGUCUGACAAAAGUCUUCAAAGCCCAAAGACAACUGCUGGAAUGAAAUGCAACCUAUAGGACUGAUGGAAGAAUUGCUACCUGGACUUUCAAAUGCCAUGAAAAUAUAUGGACAUUCUAAAUACUGAUAAAGAAUAGGAAGCUGAUCAAGCAAUACUGGAUCUUCCUCUGCUCCACGAGAGGUGUCCUUUCACAUGCAGAGGAAUGUGUAGAUGGACAUAUAUUUGAAUAAGAUACUGAACCUAAGACUACUGCAUUAGAGCCUCGUACAAGACUUCUAAGACUGUUGACUGCCUACCAUGGAUAUUCAGGUGUGUAUUCUUUACUGUGAUUUUCAGUUUGGAGUUGCUGAAGUAGUGUGUGGCUGGAAUGUUCUAUAAUUUCCAAGGUAUCAAUCAACCUUCAACUUCUGCUCAAUAGUACUCCAGACAUAAGAGGAAGAGAAGCUAUGCACAUUCCAUACAGUCCAGGGGAGAUCCUAUUUCACCCUUAUACUUUAAAACAUCAAAAAUCUAUCACCUUUUCCUGGAGGGACAGCAAAAAUUCCUCUUCUGCACACAGGGAAAUUAGAUAUUCCUCCACCUAUUCAAAGGAAUCUGAGGAUCCUCUUUUCAUUUAUAUGAUUUUUUAAUUUAAGUUUCAAAUAUACCAUUUCCUGGUUUCCUGUUCAUACGUCAUCUAUCUGCUCUCACUCCUUCUUCGAUAAUGGUGUUCCCAUCCACAUCAUCCACCCGUCUAAUCUUUCUCACCUUCCUUAUAUUAAGAGUCCACAUUUGGAAGGAUUAAGAGCUUUUCCUCCCCUUGUUGCCCAAAAAGGCCAUCUUGUGCUACAUAUACAUCUACAGCCAUGAGUCAAUCCAUGUAUAUACUUUGGGUGAUGCUUUACUCCCUGGGGCCUUUCGUUGUUGGGCAUUGUUGUCCUAUGAGGUUGCAAGCCCCUUCAGGUCUUUCAACCGCUUCUCUAAUUCCUGCAACUGGUGUUCCAUUUUCUGAUUAAUGUUUUGCUGCUAGCAUUCAACUAUGAAUUUGACCUGCUCUCGCUGUGUCUCUCAGGGACAUCUAUAUCCAGUUCCAGUCAGCAUGCACUUCUUAGCGUCAAUAAUCUUAUAUACUUUUGGUGACUGUAUAUAUGUAUAUGACCCACAGGUGGGGCAUGAAUUCCUUCAGUCUCUACUUCUACCUUUGCCUCCACAUAAACUCCCGUGAAUGUUUUUUGUUCCGCCGUUUAAGAAGGAGUGAAGCUUGCAUAAUUUGAUCAUUCUUCUUGAACAUCAUGUGGUCUGUGGAUUAUAUCUUGCCGAAUUCGAACUUUUGGGCUAAAAUGCACUUAUCAGAGAGUGCAUACUAUGUGUCCUUUUCUGUGAUUGGGUUACCUCACUAAGGGUGACGCUUUCUAGGUCAAUCCAUUUUCUUAUGAGUUUCAUGAAUUCAUUGAUUUUAAUGUGGAGUAGUAGAACAUUGUACAGAUGUAUCACAUUUUAUGUAUCCAUUCAUCAGUUGAAGAGCAUCUUGAUUCUUUCCAGUUCCUGGCUAUUAUAAAUAAUACUGCUGUGAGCAUAGUGGAGCAUGUGUCUUUGUUGUAUGUUGCACCAUCUUUUGUGUGUAUGCAGAGUACAGGUAGAGCUGGGUCCUCAGUUAGGGCAUUAUCCAAUUUUCUCAGGAAACUUCAGAAUGAUUUCCAGAGUUAUCAUACAGGUUUGCAAACCCUCCAAUAAUGGAGCAGUGUUCCUCUUUCUCCAUAACCUCACCAACAUCUGUUUUCACCUGAGUUUUUGAUCUUAGCCAUUCUGACUGCCGUGAGGUGGAACCUCGGGACUAUUUUUAUUUUUAUUUGCUUGAUGACUAAGGAUGUUGAACAUUUCUUGACACACUUCUCAGCUAUUUGUUAUUCCUUAGUUGAGAAUUCUCUGUUUAGCUCUGCACCCCAUUUUUCAUAGGAUUAUUUGGCUCUCUGGUGCCUAACUUCUUGAGUUAUUUGUAUAUUUUGGAUAUUACCUCUGUAUCAGGUGUAGGAUUGAUAAAGAUCUUUUCCCAAUCAUUUGUUUGCUGUUUUCUCCUAAUAACAGUGUCCUUUGACUUACAGAAUCUUUGCAGUUUUAUGAAGUCUCAUUUCUGAUUCUUGAUCUUACAAUACAAACCAGUGGUGUUUAGUUCAGGAAAUUUUUCCCAGUGCCCAUGUGAUCAAGAUUCUUCUCUACUUAUAGUUUCAGUUUAUUGGGUUUGAUGUAGAGGUUUUUGAUCCACUCAGACUUAAGGUUUGAUUAGACCAAUAAAAAUGAAUCGAUUUGCAUACUUCUACAUGCUGCCCUCCACUUGUUGAAAAUCCUAAUUUUUUUUUCAUUGGAUGGUUUUGGCCUCUUUGUCAAAUAUCAAGUGACUAUUGAUGUGUGUGUUUGUUUUGGGGUCUUCAAUUCUAUUUCACUUAUCAACAUUCCUAGAUCUGUACAAAUACAACUUUUUUUUGUCAUUGAUUUUUUUUUAAUCACUAUUGCCCUGUAAUACUGCUUGAGGUAAGGAAUGGUGAUUCUCCCAGAGGUUCUUUUAUUGUAGAGUACAGCAUAUGUAUGUUGUGCCAUCACUUUUAUUAAAUUCUAAAAAGUCUUUAAUCUUUCUUUAUUUCUUGCUUGACAAGUUAUCUUUGAGUGGAGCACUGUUCAACUUACAGGUAUGUGUGGGCUCGCUGAUGUUUUGUGGAUAUUGAAGAUCAGCCUUUGUUUGUCACGGUUUGAUUGGAUAAAUGGACAUAUUUCAGUUUUCUUAGAUCUGUUGAGGCCUGUUUUGUGACUUGUUAUAUGAUUAGUUUUGGAAAAAAUACUAUGAGAUGCUGGGAAGAAGGCAUAGUAUUUUAUUUUAGGAUGAAAUAUUCUAUAAAUAUAUGUAAUGUCCAUUUUGUUCACAACUUCUGUUAGUUUGUCUAGAUCUUUAUUAAUUUCUAUUUCCAUGAUCUGUCCAUUGAAGAGAACGUGGUGUUGAAAUCUCCCACUCUUAUUAUGUGAGGAACAUUGGGUGCUUUGAGCUUUAGUAAGGUAUCCUUUAGGAAUGCAGUUGCCCAUGUAUUUGGAGCAAAAAUAUUUAGGAGUGAGAGUUCCUAUUGCUGUGAUAAUCUUUUGAUAAAUAUGAAAUUUCCUUCCUCACCUGUUUGGAAAACUUUUGGUUGAUAAUCGAUUAUAUUCCAUAGUAGAAUGGCAAAUCCAGCUUCCGUCUAUCAGACCAUUUGCUUCAAAAUUUGUUUUCUAGCCUAAUACUCUCAGGUAGUGUCUGUCUUUGUCUCUAAGUUGUGUUUUUUACAUGCAACAAAAUGCUGGGUACUCUUUAUGUAUCCAUUCAUUUAGUCUAUGUCUUUCUAUUGGGGAAUUCACUCCAUUGUUGUUAAAAUAUAUUAAGGAAUAGUGAUUGUUGCUUUUGUCAUUUUUGUUGUUAGAGGUAGAAUCAUGUUUGUGUGUCUCUUUUCUUUUGGUUUCAUAGCAAGAUUAGUUUGUUGCUUUUUAUAGUGUGUAGUCUCCCUCCUUGUGUUAGAGUUUUCUACCUUUUAUCUUU